rnacentral:rRNA from 1 species
AUUGAACGCUGGCGGCAUGCCUUACACAUGCAAGUCGAACGGUAACAGGUCUUCGGAUGCUGACGAGUGGCGAACGGGUGAGUAAUACAUCGGAACGUGCCUAGUAGUGGGGGAUAACUACUCGAAAGAGUGGCUAAUACCGCAUGAGAUCUACGGAUGAAAGCAGGGGAUCGCAAGACCUUGUGCUACUAGAGCGGCCGAUGGCAGAUUAGGUAGUUGGUGGGAUAAAAGCUUACCAAGCCGACGAUCUGUAGCUGGUAUGAGAGGACGAUCAGCCACACUGGGACUGAGAAACGGCCCAGACUCCUACGGGAGGCAGCAGUGGGGAAGUUUGGACAAUGGGCGCAAGCCUGAUCCAGCAAUGCCGCGUGCAGGAUGAAGGCCUUCGGGUUGUAAACUGCUUUUGUACGGAACGAAAAGCCCCGGGUUAAUACCCUGGGGUCAUGACGGUACCGUAAGAAUAAGCACCGGCUAACUACGUGCCAGCAGCCGCCGUAA